UUCCACUGAUCAGCUUCUGGGGUCCCUUGUCAAUACAUCGGUCCUCGGCCAGGGCGUUCCCGGCCAUACAUAUCUCGUGAUGGGCAGCAGGUUUAAUUGCUGCACUUACCAGAGAAAAUUCCUGGAGCUCUAGAACAAUUGGUGAGGAGAGGAUGCCUCGGCAGUGCCUGCAGCAUUGUUCAGGGUGGCCCCCAGGAAAGGGGGAGGUUCCAGGUUUCCUGGCCCACCCAAGGGAGGGUGGAGCUGAGCAGAGAGAGAAGAAGCUGCAGAGGAGACUGAGGAAGGAAGCAGAAUGGAGCCAGAAGGAGACCUGGAGGAGGCACAUGGAGCCUAGAGACACGUGAAGAAACUGUGCUUGUCUUUCGGUCGUGGACUGGGUGACACAGAUGUGGGUGAGACCCGUAGGGAGGUGACAAUGGCAGUUUUUAUCUUGAUUUUGAUUUUGCUCUUUUCCUUGGGCUUGUCUGGUUGUUUCUGACCCUUUUCUGUGGGUCCCCACGGGAAGAUGCUUUAGACUUGUGGCAGGCUGUGGGGCCUUGCUCUGGGCCAAUCCCAUUUGGAUGUGUUAGGGGGAAAUGAUGUCCUGAGUUAAUCCCAUACAGGCUUUGUGGACCCCACCCCCACUCCAGACUAAAGCCAUCAAGACAUUGGGAAAGACAAAUCCCAUCACCACAAAAGGGAGGGUGGCUGGGACCUGAGGGUGGAGUUGGGCAGCCAGGUUGGAUAUAAAAACCAAACACGUGGGCCUUGGGGUCGCUGGCUCGCGAUCGCUCGCCUCCUGGCUUCACCGCUCCUGGCUGGCGGCCAACUCUGAGAGCGCCAUUUUGUGAUUCCUGAUCGGCGGAUUGGGUAGGACUCAUUUAAAACUUUGUCUCCCACUUUUCUCCCAGAGCUGUACAUUUCCUCAUUUCCCCUUCCCUUGUAAAUAAACCUUUUAUUAACCUUUCGCGUGCGCCUGCAGUAGAGCAUUGAUAAGUCCUUUUAAGCGUGCGGGUGAGGACCCACAGUCAGGCACCCUGUUUUGUAUAGGGGUUGCUCUACAACAGUUGGAGUUUUACCCACA